rnacentral:lncRNA from 1 species
UUCUGUCAAACAACUGUGGGAGAACAGGCAGGACCUAAGGGUGCGACUUCUAUUACUGCAUCUACCAAAUCCAUUAUAAACGAAGGGGUACAGCCAAGGGCGGCACUCGGCCCCAAUUCUCAAUGCCCUGGGUUUAUACCAUGAUUUUAUAGCCAUUGACUUAAUAUAGCCUUCACGAAGUUUAUAAUAGAAACAGGCAUCCUU